GCGAGUGUAGUAUAACGGAGCAUAUUGCGCAUUAUCCCAGUUUGCCAUACUGGAGACGAGGGUUCGACUCCCUUCAUUCGCU
rnacentral:tRNA from 1 species